AUUUAGCCCGUGAUAGAGGGAGUAGACGGCCAGUUUAUCUCCACGUGUAGGGUCAAGAUCCCAUUCAUCGAUUUCCCUUGGCGGGGUUAGAUGCAGCCAAGGAAGCCCCGAAUCCGAACGCCCGAUCCACGGGCCCUGACCUCCUCGUCCUCCUCCCCCCACCACCGCUGGUGGAGGAGAUGGUGAGAUGGCGGUUGGUGGUGGAAGGAACUGCUGGCGGUGGGAACAGAGGCUGGAGUCGUGAGCUUUUCAGCUCUUCCUUCGACGAAUAUCUUCUCGACGGGAGAAAAUACUCUCCUGGGACGGCUACGGACGCCUGGUGAUGGGUCCGAGCACCGCUUAUAGGGUUUCUUAAAUCCACCAUUUUCGUAAUUUGCCAUCAAUGGUUUGAGAGAAGAUGGUGAUAUUGUUGAUUGCGCCCUGAUAUUAUAAACAACUAGCCGUUGAUCAUCCUGUAUUAAAGAAUCACCCUAUCAUGGUUAUCAUGUUGGUGAAGAUGCAAGUCCACUUGUUGCCAAUAAGGCAAAGGAUCUGGUUGUCAACAGUGUCAUCAAAGCAACUGAAACAGAAGCAGCCCUACUACUCCUAUAAUUGCCACCAACAGUUCAGGAACCAAAACAAUCCAGGUGAAUCACCCAUUACCUGAGAAACCAAAGGGGGCUGAAUUGAACAGUGAGCAGAGAGAUCAUGCUUUGGUUAAUUCUCCAUAUGUUGAUGGGUUGCCAUUUGUAACUAGGGAAAGUUGUCUACAAUUAGUGGAAGGAGAUGCUUUUCAGAAGGUACAAGCAACCUUGCCUGAUGAAAUUGAUUAGAGGUGCCAAAUCGAUACACUUGAUGCAAUGCAGUGUAUUGUUUUUGAGAAACGCAACACAGAAAAUAUAUAGAUACGAAGACUAAAGAAGCACCAUGUAGCACCAAGAAGAACCAUGUAGCACCAAGAGGACCAAGCCAUGGAAAUUAAGUGUCCGACGGGGAAUGCUUGCUAUGCUUAUGAGAUUGAAGAUGGCAGUAGCGGGGAGGUCGUAGUCUUGAUCAAGGGCAUGCCUCCUAGGCUUGAAAAACGUCAUGCAACAUAUAAAGGUAUCUAUUGAUCUACUGAAACCAAUCGGCAUCAUAGGAAAUACUCUCAGAUCAAUAAACUAAUCUUUCCGUCAAUCACUAUGAAAAUCUUACCGAUGAACCGAACAGAACGUAACGUAGUCUAAUAAACGGCAACUUCCCUGAUGGGAUUGAUCAGGGCAGAUACACAUAAAAUUGGCAUCUUGUCAUCUCAGAACCCAAAAACACGGGUGCAAUAACGGACUCGCAUGUCCUGUAAAAAUUCAGCCGAUCUGACAUCAUAUACUCUCCGACGACAUACGCCUGCUUGACAGCAUUACGACAAGGUAUUUCUUGGUAGUUGCAUAGCCCCUCCAAACGGUUGAAGAGAGAAGAGGAAUCUUCUUAGCUGAGUUAACACGAAAUAGGGGUCGGCUGAGCGUGAGAUUGUGGUUUGGGAAUGGGCAAUCGCUCCCAAGGAAAUCAGUUUGAGUGACAAGAACUCAUCUGCUAUUGCAUAUUCAUAUAUAGAUUCGUUAUUAAUCCAAUGCUGAAACUUGUGUCUAUAUCUAGUUAGAUUCAGACAUGGAAAUGGAUUCAAUCCUGUCCACUUUACCCUAGUAAUAAAGAUGCGACUUAAAUCAGAAAGAUAAUCUAUUAUACUACACAUCACAGCCAUCUAUCGAUUACCACCGAUACAUGAAUAGGUAAGAGGUGGACAAUGAGGUUUGUAGAGGGCACUUUGUUAAGUUGUUUUUCGUCAUAUCUUUAUCAAUCCCCCAGGUGAUUCCCAUUGGCUCUUCCUCGGCCUCCUCUAAACCCACAGCAGUAACUAAUUGAGAUUCCAUGAUCGUUUAAUUGUCAGAUCUUUAACCUUUAAAUCCGUUUGAGGCUCUGGCUUUGAUUCAUCAACCAUGACUUUUUCCAACCCUGUUAAUAUACUCGGUAUGGGGACGAAAAAGGACGGCAAACCAAUGGAUUUGGGAGGGGAGAGAG